GCUUCCCAGAAGAGCCUUCCCCUCCUUUGUUUGGGGCACUUGCCUAUCGUUUUGCCAUAGCUUGCUCUUCCUGGGUUGCAAUUCUCUGCCAUUCCCCCCCCCCUCCCCAAAACUCACUUUUGCAAGCGAGGUAACUGGCUAUUUUAUUUUUUAAAGUUAGCGUUACUCGGUGAUUGGAAGUGGGAUCCAGAAAAGACCCUCAACGACUCUGAGGCUGGCGAGCAAACAGCUUUUGGUUAUUACGAACAAAGCGGUGUGAGAGUCCCGGUUGGUACAACUGGAAGAAGGGGUACGCUUCUUCACCAACACUUGAUAUGGAGAGGAGAACUCAUACCAGGUUUCAUCCAUUCAUUCAAGACAUUUAUGGACACCCAUCAUGGCAUGCACUCUACGAGGUACUUGUAUACAUUUUAUAUAUUUUAUACAUUUUCUUAUUUAGUCGCAACAACUGUGUACUUGGGAAAAAGAAACUAUUUAGAGAAGUUAAAACUCGUCAACUCCUUACUGUUAGUUAAGAGGUGUAGCCCUCUGGGAAUCUGUAAUCUAGUGGGGUAGGCAGGGAUCAAACUAAAAAAAGGUAAGUGCCAUCAUAGACCUCUACUGGCCCCGUGUGGCUCCUUGAGGAAGCCCUGAGAAGGGCUUUAGAACUUUUGACAGGUAAGUAUUGGUCUGUGAGAAGGCGUGGAGGCAGAAGAGAAAUUCAAAAUAGAGGAGAAAAGUUCCACUGAGGCACAAUGGCCGAGAAUACCUGGUGUGGUCAUGGAAUGGCAAGCGUUGCUGUAAUGGGGGAGGGGGCAGGGGGAAGGGACAGAAUGUUCGCAUUAGACAGGCUUGGAGGCAAGAUGACAUAUUGUUGCCAGGUGAGCUGGGGAGAUGUCUGGGCCCUGAAGCUCCCUCCUGCCCAUCCUGUCUCCCCUUAGUCUCAUCACAAGAAAAGAAUUCAAGGAGGACCAGACAUCGGUUGAGCAGU